rnacentral:sRNA from 1 species
CCGUUGACCAUUUUUUAGCCGGCGGACAAUAUAUAGAGGGGCAACGACAGUGUGGCUGAUCCCGUGUCUGAUGAUAGUGGCCGCACCACCCUUACGCUGAGAAGUAGGAUUUGUUGCUGUGUAGACAUGGAAACCGGGGAUAGAGAAAAUUUUGGAUCUGCACUCAUUGAUGAGCAGCACAUCCACGUUGUAGCGAUUUAGAAAGAUCUCCAAAUCCUGUAGCUUGUUCUGGAUGCCACACGCAUUCCAGGAGCAUAUUUGUAAGAUUUUUUGCAAAUUAGACAUAAUAAAGGUCAUUGGCAGCUGA